rnacentral:lncRNA from 10 species
ACUUCCAGGCAGGGCCUCGAGGAAGUAGGUGAGCUUCUCCAUCCCUGUCUGUCUAGAUGCAGAGAACCCAAAGCCCUGCAGGAUGGCAAAGCUGCAACAUGGAAGUCACCCGGAUCACCACGUAAAGGAAAUCUCUCCAACCAGGAACAAACACCUGCCUUGCAAUAUUAGGUGUCUGCCUCCUGCCCCGGUCCACAGCCAGGAGCCCCGGAGCCAACGGCCAGCCUGGAAGACUUACAGUUCUCCCUCUGAGGGUUGCUGUGGCUUUCCAUGUUGUGGUGACUAAGUCCCUGUGUUUCUGUGCAGUCCCUGCUUCCUGGGACCAGGGAAGAAUGGUCCCGUAAGUCUCACCCUAAUGGUGGCCACCAGACUUUCUCUGCUUGUAUCCUCCCAGGACCACAGAACUCAUCGCAUCCCAAGGCAGCCUAUUCCAUCAUGGAUGAGCUCAAAGUGUUUGAAAGUUCUGCUUUAUCAAAACUCUUGAUGGCCUGCUUCCCAUCCUCCAUCCUGGAAGACUGAUCUGAAACCCCAGGAGGAGGUCCUCUGAGCCCUGAGGCAGAGAUCUCUCACCUGGAAGAUGGGUCUAAUGACUGCGCCCCACACACACCAGAGAGGACUGCAGAUAGUGCGGGAUGAGAGGAAGAUCUCUGGCCCUGGAGACAGCAUCAUCAAGCGGUAGCUUCAUCUUUGGGAGCUGGGGCCUCUGCAGGAGCUUUACCCUCCUCUCUCCAUGCUGAGCCUGUCUCAACCCCCUAACCUGCACCCCAGUCUUUUGGGGUCACCUCAAGGCUUUGGCUGAUGCUUCUUUGCUGACGUCAACCAAGGUGAUGGACCCAUUUGUCCUUGUAAAGUAACUCUUGAACAUACAGGCACUUCUCCCUCCCUCCUCUUGCUUUGAAGGGUGGGUGGGCACCUGCCACCAUGGUCAGGGUGAGGGCCAGCCCCAUACCCCCAAUGUCAGAAGGCAGCUGCCCCUGGCCUGUGGGUUUAUCUCAGAGGGGCCAGGUUUUCCUCACUGUGUGUCCCCAGCACCUAGCCUGGGGCCCAGCCCAGGGUCACACUCAGUAAAUACUGGCUGAGAAUUAAGGGGGAACUUUCUCGUUCCCCUCCAACACUUUUCUUUUCUUUUUUUUGAGACAGAGUCUCACUCUGUCGCCCAGGCUGGAGUGCAGUGGCGCGAUCUCGGCUCACUGCAACCUCCACCUCCCAGAUUCAAGUGAUUCUCCUGCUUCAGCCUCCCGAGUAGUUGGGAUUACAGGUGCCCGUCACCACAUCCGGCUAAUUUUUGUAUUUUUAGUAGAGACGGGGUUUUGCAUGUUGACCAGGCUGGUCUCGAACUUUUAACCUCAAGUGAUCCACCCGCCUUGGCCUCCCAAAGUGCUGGAAUUACAGGCAUGAGCCACCGCACCUGGCACCAAUGCUUUUCUGCAAGUGCUAGUGUGUGCCAUAGAGACAUCUGUGCAUGCCCAGGGGCGGCUGAGGGGCCAUAAGCCUCCUUUGACUCCAUUAUCUUGCCUGUGCAGGCCAGACGAUUGCCUGAACCCACAAUAGCUUCACCAGAAGAGGGGCUUACUCAUCACUUCCACACAACCUGUGCCCCUCCCCCACUGGGACCAGCUGGGGUUGAGGGGGUGAGGGUCAGGCUGGGGAAGGCUCCUGGAGAUUGCAUUUGCAACCUACCCCUCCCCUGCCAACCUCUAUUACCACACUGAGAGGAACAGGGAGACAUCACUAAAUUGAGGACCUAGGUAGAGAGAGAAGAAGAGAGUGUCCUGUCAGCCUUCAAAGGUUAUUCAGAGCUCUUGGUGCAGGAAGGCCCUGCUAGAAAACUCCAAGAGUCCAGGAGGGCCUUGGGCAUAAAAGCUCAGAGUUGUCCUCAAGAAGCAACUGCAUGGCAGUUAUAUCAGAUGCACAUUCAACAAUAAUAAUAGCAAAACCUUACACAGACCUACAAGCCCUUAUCCACACUUCAGAGAUCCCAGUGUUUCUGAACAAAAUAAUGUAACACCAAAACUCAUUGGGUAGCCAAAACCUAACCUGAACAGAUGUAUGAAUACUCGUAUAUUGUUUUCUGCAGAAAUAUUAAUGUGUUUCGUUAUGGGAUGCUAAGCCAGAUCCCACUACCCACUAGUGUGUUAUAUAAGUCAUGUGCUUUCCAAAAUCCCAAAACUCCCUAAAUUCCAAAAUGCAUCAGGAUCCUGAGACACUGGAGUUUCAGUUAAGGAGUUGUGACCUGUGUAGCUUCCUCCAUGACAGGCACUGUUCUAACUGCUCUCCAUAAUAUUAAUUCAUUCAAUCCUUACAAUGACCUGACAGAGUAGAACUUACUAUUAUUCUUCCAAUUUUAUAGAUAAGGAAACUGAGGCAGAGAGAGGUAAAGUGACUUGCCCAAACACAUACAGCUAAUGAAUGCUGCAACUGAAGCUUCCAGAGCCUAGUUCCAGAGCCCACUCUCCGAACAAGUCUACCAUCUAUUUCCCUUAAAAGGGCUGGUGAGGCCGGGCGCAGUGGCUCACACCUGUAAUCCCAGCACUUUGGGAGGCUGAGGUGGGUGGAUCACCUGAGGUCAGAAGUUUGAGACCACCCUGCCAACAUGGUGAAACCCCAUCUCUAUUAAAAAUACAAAAAUUAGGUGGGCGUGGUGGCGGGCACCUGUAAUCUCAGCUACUCGGGAGGCUGAGGCAGGAGAACUGCUGGAACCCAGGAGGCAGAGGUUGCAGUGAGCCGAAUCCGUGUCAUUGCACUCCAGCCCAGGCCAACAACAGCAAGAAUUCGUAUUAAAAAAAAGGCUGGUGAGAGGGGCGUGGAGGUUGAGGGGUGUGGUAAACUGUAGGAGAUAACGAUUUUAUGUUGUGUGUGUGCUAUGGUUUGGAUGUGGUUUGUCUCCUCCAAAAUGCAUGUAGAAACUUGGUCCCCAAUGUAAUGGUAUUGGGAGGUGGGGCCUUUAAGAGGGGAUUAGGUCAUUAGGAGGGAUUAAUGCCUUUCUCACAGGAGUGGGUUAAUUCUCACAGAAGUGGGUGAGUUAUUGAGAGCAGUUCAUUACAAAAGUGAGUUUGGCUUCCUCGGCUUUCUCUUGCUUCCUCGGCUUUCUCUUGCUUCCUCUCACCCUACGAUGCAUUCUGCUGUGUUACAACACAGCACGAGGCCCUCACCAGAAGCUGACCAGAUCCAGCCACCCUGUCUUGGACUUCCCAGCCUCCAGAACUGUAAAAAACAAACCCCUUUUCUUUGUCAAUUACCCAGUCCCAUGGGUUCUAUGACAGCAACAGAAAGUGGACAAAUUGUGUAACAUGCACAUGUCCAGGAGGGUGUGUGAGAGGUAAUCCUGUUGUUACGGUUGUUCUGUAGGGUGACCACAAUUGGGAAUUUCCCUGGGACUGUUUUGGUUUUAGCACUGAAAACUCUGUAUUUCAAUAAACUACUCAGACCUGGUAAACCAGGAUGGUUGGUCACCCUAGUUCUUGGCCUCUUUUCCUAUGAGCAACAUGAGGCUCAUGACCCACUGAGGAAGAUUCUAGGAUCUGAAGAUGCACUUUGUCUACAUAACACAGCUUCUCAACCCAAACCAGGAUCUCCAGCAGGCACUUACUCAAGACAUGGGGAAGAAGCCCCGGAGAAAAUGCUGGCUGUAUCAGAUUCAGUGAGGGACGAUGCCUCUGUCUCCACCUGGCAUCUUCCUAAGAGGUUUUCAAGGACCAAUGUGACUCUAUCAGGCUUUCACCUUGAGUGUUGAUGCUGGCCUCCAUUGUAAAUACAGUGGGAAUACACUUGAUAUUCUAAUUUAGAAAUGCCUGACUCUCAUCCCCAGCUUUGAAUUUUAACUCCUCAAAGUCCAAAGUGACUUCUUAGGAAUGACCCACACCAUGAGCUCAUAUCUAUCUUCCUGAGGCCUGCCCAGACCUGUCGAAGUAGAGAGAAGAAGACAAGGCCCCUGCUCUUGAGAAGCAGGUAUGGGCUAUGGAGGCAGGACAGAACUAUGCCCCAGGUUCAGAGAGUGGGGAAGAGAGUCCUGUGUGCCGAGGGCUCCCAUGGACUCCUGGAGCAGGAUAAGGAAGGAAUGGGGGAAGGAUGGGGAUACCAUACAAUCCUCCUGAGGGCUGAGGAUUCCCCCAGUCAAGAACUGAGGCUGGAGACUGCUGUUUAAACAUGGCAGGUUGAACACACUUAUUUCUCUCCAUUGUUCUCUGAAAUUCCAAGAAAAUGACACAGGGAUUUUUUUUUUAAAUGCACAUCUAUCUACUGGGACAAAGAAAACGUAUGAGGAAGAAAAUAGCAGAUGAGAAGAAUCAACCAAAUUCCGGAAGCUGGAAGGCAGAUGGAAGAAGGCCCUUGAAUGAUGCCAGCACCUUGAUAUUGGACUUUCCAGCCUCCAGAACCAUGAGCCAAUACAUUUCUGUUCCAUAAAAAUUACCCAGUUCCAGGUAUUCUGCUAUAGCAGCACAAAAUGGACUAAAACAAUGUUGGCACAAGACUCAGUGCUGGGCCUGGCAUGCAACAGGUCCUUGGAGUGGCGUGCUGUGUGGAUAAUGAAUAUUGGGGAAGGCAUCUCUCUCCAGCCCCUCUCAAGCUUUCUGUAGUCACUGGUCCACUCUGUAUUGCUAUGAAGAAGCUCAAGACCAGCCUGUAUCACUCGGGGUCCUGGCAGGAACCAGGUGCCACACUCAAACUGAGUAAUUGAAGAGGGUUUAAUAUGGGAGUUAUUUACAUAGGUGUGGGCUGGUGUAGCUGCCCAUAUGCCCUCAAAAUCACCUCUACAUGGCAAUAGCUACUUACUGCUAACAGAGUCUCUCUCUCAUUGCUGCAAAUAUUUUCUAGCCAUGCAAGAAACUCAGCCGGUCAUGUUGAACAAACUAAGAGUGCCAGGAAGUUAAUGUCCUGGAAGCAUUGCCAGAGGGGAGGGGGCAGUUAGAUUCCCCAGCUUCCUCGCUCCUCUGCUGGGUUAAGCCUGCAACAUAUUCAUCAUCUCCCAGAGUGCUGCCCAGGGAUAGAGCUCCAGGUGCUCAGUGUGGUGACCUGCUCAUGUCAGCUUCUUCCCCUUUCCUGUCUUGUUUCGCACCCACAUCCUUCCCAUGUUUCCUCUUCCCAAAUAAACUACUUGCAUUGAAAUCUUUGUCUCAGGCUCUGCUUCUGGGGAAACCUGAAC